GAUUUAAGAAGAGCUAAAUAAAAAUUGUUUAUGGACAAUCCUUAAAAUGUUGCAAAUAUUUUAAAUAAAUUUUUAUUUAGGGGCGAAAUACUUUCAAUUCUUAAGAUAACUGGAUUUAAUUUAAAUGCAUUAAGUGCUGAAUAUUUUUUGACUUUCAAAGUGUUAAGAAUUUGAAAAAUUUUUUUAAGGUUUUUUUUCUCCUCUAUAAGGAUUAAUUUUUUUCUAAUAAAUUAUAAACUUAUAAUUAAUUUAAAAUCCUUUAAAAAAAAUAAAUUAAAAUGUUUUAAAAAUAUUUUAUUGCAUAUAUAAUGUUAAAAUAAGUAUAUUUAUGUAUUCUUUUUGAGGAACUCGGCAAAAAUUUUUUUCGACUGUUUAUCAAAAACAUAGCUUUAUGAUCUUUUUAUAAAGUUUUUCCUGCCCAGUGAUUAUUUAACGGCCGCAGUACCCUGACUGUGCUAAGGUAGCAUAAUAAAUUGGCUUUUAAAUGGAGUCUAGUAUCAACGGAUUAACGGAAAGUAGCUGUCUUAAGAAGAAUUUAUAGAAAUUAACUUAAAGGUGAAAAUGCCUUUUAGAUUUUAUAGACAAGAAGACCCUUAGAAUUUUAUAAAAAAAAAUUCUCUUUUUCUUUUUUGUUGGGGCGACAGGGUAACAUUUAACCUACCUAAAGAAUUUUUACAUGUCAAAAUUUUUUAUUUAGAAUAAAUUACCUAAGGGAUAACAGCAUAAUAAAUUUUUUUGUUUGUGACCUCGAUGUUGGAUUAGGAUACGAUAAAACUAGCCGUUUUACCAAAAAGUUCUGUUCGAACAUAUUCUCCUACAUGAUCUGAGUUCAGACCGGCGUAAGCCAGGUCAG
rnacentral:rRNA from 1 species